CUUGGAGUAACUUCUAGAACAUUCUAGAACUUCCCAGUAAUAUAAAUAGUAGUAUAAAUACAGGGGCCUUAAGCCCACCAGUUCAGUUUAGUUCCAGCUGCCUAAGUGGAUACAUAUCUGCAUUUUUCUGAGAUGGCAUAAAGAGGCUGCAAGCAUCCGGCAGACGCAUUUUGCUAUGUCUGCGGCCAAUUUAUCAAGACAAGAACGAAGAAGUACUCUGUGGAAGCAUCUGCUACGAUGUGUGAGGCCAACAAGGCAUAUUUCGGCAUGCCUGUCAAAAAUCAAGACAAACCCUGGGCACCUAAUAUCACCUGCGAGCAAUAAAUGUAACUCUGGAAGGAUGGUACAAAGGGGAAAGAGAGCCCUGAAGUUCGCUAUCUCAAGAAUUUGGCGGGAACCCACUGACCACUCAAGCAACUGCUACUUCUGCAUGGUGGACCCUUCCAAACGUCGAACUGGCAAGAAUGCACCUGCUAUGUCGUAUCCGGACCUUCCGUCGUCAAUCGCCCCGGUGCCACACUGCCAUGAGCUCCCCGUACCCACUCCUCCAGAGAGAGAGCAGCCGUCUUUAGAAGAGAGCAGCAAGUCAGGGAGCAAGGAAGACGUAGAACCAGAUGACAAUUUCAGAGAUGGAGCUGAGGAGAGAAACCCAAACUACCCCAACCAAAAAUACCCCAACGACUUGAUCACAGAUCUUGGUCUCACCAAGUCCAAUGCUGAGCUUUUGACGUCUCGGCUCAAGCAGUAGAACUUGAUGUAUGAAAGUGUGCAAGUCGCAGAUCAGCGGAAGCGUCACCAACCUUUUUGUAGCUUCUUCACUCGUCAAGAUGGGCUCUGCUUCUGCCACAAUGUGACCAGUCUGUUCGAGGCAAUCGGGAUCGCCUGUAACCAGAAUGAGUGGCGCCUCUUCAUUGACAGCUCAUCCAAGUGCCUCAAAGUCGUUCUGCUGCUCCAUAAUGGUAACAAGUACCCGUCUCUUCCCCUGGCCCCACUCAGUGCACCUCAAACAGGAUUACAAUAGCAUCAAGACCUUUCUGGACGCCUUGAAGUAUGAGGAGUACGGAUGGGAGGUCAGGUCAUGGGAGACUUCAAAAAGGUGGCAUUCCUGAUAGGUCUCCAAGGCGGUUUUACCAAGUUUCUCUGCUAUGCCUUUGGGACAGCAGGGACACCAAGGCGCACUACUACAGGUGGGACUGGCCACAGUGGACCGAGUUCUCUGUGGGGAGGAACAAUGUCAAGUGGGAGCCACUGGUGGACCUCCGGAAGGUGCUGAUGCCACCACUGCAUAUCAAAUUGGGCCUUAUGAAACAAUUUGUCAGAGCUGUAGAUAAGGAGUCGGCAGCCUUCAAGUAUCUUCAAUACUUCUUCCCUAAGAUGUCUGAUGCAAAGGUCAAAGCCAGUGUCUUUGUCGGGCCACAGAUGAAGAAGAUCCUGGAGUGCAAUUAAUUCCCCAAGAAGCUCACUAGUAAAGAGAAAGUGGCUUGGAACAGCUUUGUCGCAGUGGUUCGUGGCUUCCUGGGCAAUCACAAGGUCGAAAACUACGUGGAGCUGGUUGAGAACUAUGGCACAAUGGGCUGUAGGAUGUCCCUCAAAGUCCAUAUCCUUGAUGCUCAUCUUGAUAAAUUUAAGGAUAACAUAGGAACGUACUUGGAGGAGCAAGGCGAGCGCUUCCACCAGGAUAUACUGGACUUUGAAUGCCGCUACUAAGGACAGUAUAUAAUGAGAACAUGAUGGGAGACUACAUUUGGGGGCUGAUUCGUGAAAGUAUUUACAGUAUAAUCGUAAAUCUCGAAAAACUACUCACUUCUAAAUCUUUUGUAGUAAUUUUGUAUUACUUUAGUGUAAAUACAUGUACAUUUUGAUUCAUGUUGUUUUUUUCUGACUAUGUGAACGAAAAGACACAAAUUUCUCACUGAAAAUAGAUACAUUCCAAAAUAUCACUGUCCUGGUCACAAAAGCAAAGUUUGUGGCGAAUAAUAGCCAUUUUCUAUACAUUUUAGGCAUAAACAAUUACGAAAUAACACUUACUACCCAGGAACAAAAAUUGUGUUACCUAGUGUUAUUCGAGUGAGCACACCCCCCCCCCCCCUCCCACACGCACACCAUACUACUACAGUAAGAGGGGACCGUGCACGUUAACGAAUGCCAUUCCUAAACAAAUUCACAACAACAACAAAACACGGCAACAUUUCCAGUCCAAGUUAAUCCAUCUUCACUGUCCAUUUCUUUUUUGACGAAUAACUUUUGAGAAAUCUACAAUUAUCAAAACGUGCUCACGACAGGGGCCACUCUGCGGUCAUCGGGGUGGGUUUCGAGUUUCGGUCGGCCAGAUUCUUCAAGGCUCAGGAUUUAUUUUUUUGCACUUCGACACUUUUAAAUGGCACAAAAAAAUAGCCGUUAGAUUGCCCAACAUUUUAUGUUGAUUCGUGCCAUCGCCGUCAUACCAACGUGGCUACAUUUGUUGUAAGACGUGGCCCCUUUUUGUACACUAUGAACACGUCACAGAUAUUUCUGCAUGUGGCGCAUUUGUUCACGUCAGCACGUUUCCAUGCAGUGCUUGCGUAUGACCCUCUAUGAUACAGAAAUAAAAUGUACGCGUAA